CCGGCCGCCAGCGGCGCUCGCAAAGUUCGGAUCCGCAAGGACCGGGCCAGCGGGACGUCCGCGUGGCAGGGUGCACUUUCUCCGCGGUCGAGUGCUACGACCGGUUUCGAGGCGGUCAGAAGCCCGGCGGAAAGGUAGCGCCGCCCUUCGGGGUGUCGUGUUAUAGGCCGCCGCGGUGGACUCGCCGCGAGACCGAGGACGCUUGCCGCGCCGAGCGGUCCCGGGCCGUCUUGGGAGGUUCGACCUCGGCUGCACUGCUCCGCAGAGCACCGUAACCGCCGCCCUAGCACGGGUCCGGAGACCGCCGGCGCCUCGGGUCAGUAGCG
rnacentral:rRNA from 1 species